AUGGCAAUUCCUAUGUAAUACCAUCCUAAACUGAUCUCUCUUUUCUAUGACUGGGUUACAGUAGUCAAGAUUUGUUUUCUAUGUUAGCUGGUGCAUUAUAGUAGUUUAGGCUGGCAAUGUAUCUAAAUGAACUGUUUUUCCUCUGACUGUCUCUCUUGUCCUCACCUGGUAGGGAACUGUAACUGAGGGCGUUCAUUGUAUCUGAAGGUCUCUCUCCUUCUGUUUCUCACAUACGCAAACCCAGGCCGAUUUGGUGCUUUCAAUGAAAAGGAAUUGUAGACAACAGU
rnacentral:lncRNA from 1 species